rnacentral:rRNA from 1 species
CCUACGGGAGGCAGCAGUGGGGAAUUUUCCGCAAUGGGCGAAAGCCUGACGGAGCAAUACCGCGUGAGGGAUGAAAGCCUGUGGGUUGUAAACCUCUUUUCUCAAGGAAGAAGUUCUGACGGUACUUGAGGAAUAAGCAUCGGCUAACUCUGUGCCAGCAGCCGCGGUAAUACAGAGGAUGCAAGCGUUAUCCGGAAUCACUGGGCAUAAAGCGUCUGUAGGUUGCUUGUCAAGUCUGCUGUUAAAGAUCAGGGCCUAACCCUGAAAAAGCAGUGGAAACUAAUAGGCUUGAGUGUGGUAGAGGUAGAGGGAAUUCCUGGUGUAGCGGUGAAAUGCGUAGAUAUUAGGAAGAACACCAAUGGCGAAAGCACUCUACUGGGCCAUAACUGACACUGAGAGACGACAGCUAGGGGAGCAAAUGGGAUUAGAUACCCCAGUAGUCCUAGCCGUAAACGAUGGAUACUAGGUGUUGCACGUAUUAACCCGUGCAGUAUCGUAGCUAAGGCGUUAAGUAUCCGCCUGGGAGUACGCUCGCAAGAGNGAACUCGAAAGAUUGACGGCUGAGAGUGCGACGACGACGACGAGGGAGAGG